GCUUGCUCUCCAGCUGGUCAAGAUAUGCCUAUUCCUUGUGGAUUUCAUUCCCUAGGGCUAUAAAAUCUAAAAAUACCGUACUGGAAAAAAACAUGAAAAUCUCCAAUGACAUCAACUAACGAUCUUUGGGGUUUUUCAAGUAGCCAAGUAAAUUGUUGAGCUGCCUCUAAGGUUGAUGAGAUAUAACCUCAUUUAUAUAACUAAUAAAUUAUACAGUGGUUGACAGUCUGAGCCUAUGAAAAAGUGUUUUGCUUUAACUACUUAAGAAUAGCUACCAGAUCUUUGCUAUGGUGUAGAAUCCUGAACAGCCUUUGGCAGGUCUGGUGCGGGUGCCCCUGUGUGCUACGUGGUGCCAAAUUCUUACAACCUUUGGGGAUGAAGGAAUUCACCCAGGAAACACUCCAUGGCACAGAUCAGUUCUAACACCUUUAUUAGCAUGGACUGAAGUCCAUUGUAAUUGAAGAAAACAGUCAAUGGGAGUAUGAUAGAAAUCCAAUAUGCCUAAAAGGAACUCUUCUUCAUCAGUCACAAGCCAUCUUGAUGCCCCUCCAGCUGGCUCCUAGAUUAAGGUAUCUCCUUCUCUUUCUGUAGCAGCUAAUUCUUGUGUGUGGUAAACCUCAUAGGGCCACACACUCAGACUGCUUCUUGGGCCUGUCCCCCCGGUCCUGAGCUCAGGCUCUGUUUGGUUUUGCUGUCCCUGCAGCAGGAGCAUGUGCUUUCUCCAGCAGCACAUGCAGUCCUUUCUCCAGUUGUGUCCCCCUUCUCCAAUUGCAGGACAGCCGAAAGAAGCGGUGGGAUUUUUUGCCAGGUCUGCAGAUAACAAGGGCUCUACAGUGGUUGGAGAGGCCAACUUCUGUGUGAAGCUCACCUGAGGUCCAGGGAGAUGGCCAGCCUUCACAGCAUUGCUGCUGAUCUGUUGAAGGGGGCGGUGUAUGUAGCAGAAGAGAGGAAGAUUUAAUCAGCUUUUUGGAAGGUACUGAUAGUGCUUCCCGCUGCAAGCAAAUCUCAGAAGUCUGUGGUGGCAAUAUGGAAGUAAGAUGGGAAUAUGGAGUUUUUCAAUAACCCACCUGGUAGCAACUGGCAGUAAAAGGGGCAUGGCCAGGGCACAUGAUGCCAAAUCCUUGAUCUGCCUCUGUGAGCUGCAGAGUGGAUGGGAGCAGCCAGAUGUCUAGAAUGUUGGGAGAUGCUGCUAGCAGAAUGGAAAUUAUUGUGGGCAUACAACAGUAGUUACCAUACCAGAGCCAACUCUUGUCCCAGCUACCACACGCUGUCAUGGCCUACAUUUGUCAACUGGUGCUAGCUUUGCACAUGAAAACACAUGUUGAAGUCUCUAAUGAGCUGCUGAUGGAUGCAGCCAAAAAGAGGGUUCCAUUUUAUAGCUGCAGCACUCUGUGGUUUCUGGAAAUGUGAAUUUUUUCAAAAGAAAAGAUAAAUGUAGGAAUGAAAUGGUUGAAAGUUCCUC